GAUGUUGUAGUUUUGAUGAUAGGUAGGUUUGUUGUGAAAUUCAUUGGAAGGCUCAAGAAACUUACUACCCAAAGGCAGUUAGGCUCAGUUGCAUAACCGAAAAAUCCACCUUCCCUGCAGUUCAACCAACAAAUCCAAACCCUUUGUAAAUAUUUAUUUUUUACUUUUACUUAAUCUAAAUUCCCAUUCCUAUUCCCAUUCUCAUUCCCUUUUUCACUGCUACAAUACCCCCACACCCUCACAUAACCUUCAUUUCUCCCACUCAUUGUCUUAUUCCUCUCCUCCUCUUAGCUCUUUUAUUUCUUUAUUUUUGUUUUCUCCUCCAUUUUCUUGCUUCCUUUUUUCCAUUCCCAUUUUUAUUUUCGUUACCUUUACUUGAGGAUACAAAGGAUAACACCAAAUCCAUAAACUUGCAUACCACAUAUUAC
rnacentral:lncRNA from 1 species